rnacentral:rRNA from 1 species
CACUGAUUAUUAAAGAGCCGCGGUAUUUUGACCGUGCAAAGGUAGCAUAAUCAUUAGCAUAUUAAUUGUGUGCUGGAAUGAAAGGUUUGACGAGAAAUAUACUGUCUCUAUUGUAUUUUUAUAAUUUUAUUUUCUAGUUAAAAAGCUGGGAUUUUUUUUUAGGACGAUAAGACCCUAUAGAGUUUGAUUCUACAUAUUUUAUUAUUUUGGGCUUAAUUAUUAAUAGUUAAUUUUAUUUUGAAUUUUGUUGGGGUGAUGUGAAUAAUAAUUAAACUAUUCAUUGUUUUUAUCAUUGAUUUAUGUUUUUUAUGAUCCUUUAUUAUUGAUUUAAAGAUAAAAUUACCUUAGGGAUAACAGCGCAAUUAUCUUUGAGAGUUCUUAUUGACAAGGUAGAUUGUGACCUCGAUGUUGGAUUAAGAUUUUUUUUAGGUGAAGGUGCUUAAUUUAAUUGGUCUGUUCGACCAUU